rnacentral:sRNA from 1 species
GGUCAGCGGUUCGAUCCCGCUAGGCUCCACCAUUUUUCUGGGUGGAU